CUUGAUAUUAACAGGAGACAACAGAACACCCAAACAACAACAAGAAACGAGAAACUAAACAAAACAGGGAGUGUCCUUUGCAGGUGGAACACAGGUCGAGUGACGAGCUGCUUGGGAGGCACUGAUGAGUUGCAAUUUGCUCAGGGCGAUGACUUCUGGCAUUGUGACUCCGCCCCCUUCCUGGAUGUCCGGCUUCCGACUGACCCUGGAAUGAACUGCCAAACCAUCCAGUCCGGGACACACUCUUCCUGCUACACAGCGCCCUCACAGACUCGUAUCAACCCAGGAGCUGAAGCUAUGGAGCCAGCACUAACCCCGGGAGCAUCUACACCUGCACACGAGAGCGUCCGCUCCGCAGGAUUAACUACUACGGAACCGUAUAAACUGCAAGACAAUGCUGUGAAGAUUGGGGGUUUUCAUAGAGUAGUAGGUUAUUAUUAUUAUUUGUUUAUUUAGCAGACGCCUUUAUCCAAGGCGACUUACAGAGACUCGGGUGUGUGAACUAUGCAUCAGCUGCAGAGUCACUUACAAUUACGUCUCACCAGAAAGACGGAGCACAAGGAGGUUAAGUGACUUGCUCAAGGUCACACAAUGAGUCAGUGGCUGAGCCGGGAUUUGAACCGGGGACCUUCUGGUUACAAGCCCUUUUCUUUAACCACUGGACCACACAGCGGGACGUUUCUUUUAGUGUGACGAGCACUCACCUUGUGUAACAAACUUUUAUUUUUUAGCCUAGCGUCAGCGUGGCAUGUCAACACCCAAUGCUCUGUGUUUGCCUCAUUAUUAUUCAGUGACGACCCACUCACAUGACAAACCCCCCUGUUACACACCUCUAUUGCAAAGUCUAUUCAAUUAUCGUCACAACUUUAGUUAGUUAAAUAUUCUGCUGAGUCCACCGAAAAAAUAAAAGGCAAUAAUGCCUGGCUCAGAAUUAUGCUGAUUCAUAAAUGUCAUAUUCCAUUUGGAUUAUGUUUACAUUGUUAAUCAGGGAAGCAAAUGUUCAAGUUCUCUUGAUUUAAUGGAUGUAUUUACGCUAUAGAAUCUUUUUCAUUUCCACACCAUAUCACCUACCAGCCGGCAUUCAUACUGUUCAUAUUGACAAUAUAAAUGAAGUACUAUAGAUUGUCAAGUAAAUACUAGUGUAGGGUAUUCACAUUUGAAAAUGCAGAAGAGAUAUUAUCACUGCCUUCAUUGAGAAAAUUAUAACAUAUCAUGGCCCAGCAUGCGGUAUCUGAGUCAUGCUGUUCAAGAUGCACCCCAGUAACAAAUACUGUUGGCAGUCACAGCAUAUAAGCACAU